rnacentral:lncRNA from 1 species
GACAAGAAACAGGGCCAGGUGUAGGGACAGAGGCUGGGGGAGUGAUUUUAAGUGAAUGAAUUACAUAGCCAGGUGCUAUAUGGGCAGGAUAUUUCAUUUGUUUAACAUUUGCACAGAAAACAAAUUUUCUUUGUUUCAGAAUUUAGUAACAUGUUUUCCAAAUGCUUUUUAAAGUAAAAUUUAGUGCCAUAUCUAAUAAAAUCAGCGAAAAGUAGAUAUUUAUUUUUUUCCUCUUCCUUACCAUCAGUGUAUUAUUCUGUCCUUGAUAUAGUGAUUUUAAAAAUAAACUUGAUUCUAUUCACAAGAACAUGUGUGCCCGAGUCCCGGGUGCAAGAAAAUUGGACCAUGGUAACUGCUGCCACCUUGUGGGAGAGUGAAAGAAAUUCAAGAUACUGUUAUCUCCCUAUACUCUUCAGCACCCUCUGAUUCAAACAUCCACCCUUUUCUUCAACAUUUACUCUAUGCCAGGCCUUGGCUGAUCUCUAGAAAUAAGAGACAAGUAAGACACAGCUGCGUCCUCAAGGUAUGCAGUAUGCAGAACGAAGUUGUCCUGACACAAUAUAUUAUUAAAUAUUGUCCCAGGAGAGAGUACCCUUCUUAGAUGCGGGUAGUGGAGGAACCCAAGAGACCUUCCCAAAGAGCAUAGUCCAGUGGUUUGUGGAUAGCCAGGCUGACUCUAUUCUAUGAUGCUUUGUGUUAUGGAAGUAAUUUCCUAGAAUUUUUUUUUUUUCUCCAAUCCUCUCAUUCUUUCCCAGUAAUAAGAAAAGAGAAGAGGCAGUUGUGGCUGUGGCACAAUGGGAUCAAUGGCGUCACUGGAAUGCUGGGACACAGGUUGAUCCCUGGCCACAGUGGGUUAAGUAUCCCAGGCUGCCACAAUUGCCCUGUAGGUCAGAACUGUGGCUCGGAUCUGAUCCCUGGCCAGGGAACUCCAUAUGCUGCAGGGCAGCCAAAAAAAAAUAAAGGGGGGUGGGGGUGGGAGAGAGCCAUUCCUUCCCUUUGACCUUACACACUUAAGGAAAAAAAAGAAAGAAAAGAAAGAAGAGGAAAGAUGAAAUGCUGACCAGCCUCAGAACCUCAGAGAGUAUAUGGAAUACCUUUCCUUUGCCUCUCCAGAUACACCUUUCACCCACCUUCAUCCCGUUUUGUCCCUGGAAGAUUGACCAGUGCGGACUGACUGUAUCCCCUCUCUCCCACACUGACUUUCAGUUCUGGUCAGAGAAUACUGGUGGAGAGCAGGCAUUGGCAAGAGAUCUGCCAAAGGAAGGAGAAUUCAAUCAUGGUAUACAUGUCAAGAUUCUCUUCCAUCCAGGCAGGAAUUCAACGGUAAAGUCUCCCCAUCUGUCCUUUCAGACCCUGCGAUGGUACCAGGGUCCAGCUGUUGCUAGCUACAGAGUGCUGAACUAAUCCUUGUGGUUUUCUUACACUCUGCCCACACCUUUAUAAAUAAUCCCUUAAAAUCAUCCUAAUUUGAGUGGGCUAUUGGUUUCCUGCUUCCCUGGCUGAUAUACAGGACGUUAAUUAAUAAAUGGUUGAGUAUAUAAAUUCUAUGUAAAUGAAUAACUGAAUGCAAUAAUUGAAUGAAUAAAGGCAUGAAUGAAUGAAUGAGUGCUAGGAUGAGUGUGUAAGAACUAAAUGCAGACAUGUAGAAUAUAUUAAUAUUGCAUGCAGGAAUAAGUGUAUAAUAACUAAGCAAAUGAAUACCCACAUGAAAUAUGAAUGGAAGCAUAAAUGAAGAAGGAAUUCAUAAAAACAUAGAGACCAGCUUAAAUAAAUUUGAAUGCCUGAUAUCACCACCUCCCCAUGUUCGCAUCUAUUUGAACACAUGCAAAGAAAAGGAGUGAAGAACAAGGCUAAAACAGGGCUAUUACACAGAAACAUAGUUUAGAGAGAGGCACUCAGAGGUUAGGUUAGGAAAAAGGACUCAAGAAAAGAAUAAGCUAAAUUUUGAAAGGGUGGAGCGUAAAAGUAGAGAUUUCCUUAGAGGGGCAGAAAAUAAAGAUGGAAUUGAGUGGAAGGAUUAAGCUCCUUCACUCUAGAGGAAAAUCAGCAGCAGUUCAGAGACUCAGAAGCAAGGAGGUGUGGGAAAGGAAGCUGGCCAGCAAGUAUUGCCAUGAGGAUCAGUUAAGCUAUGGUUGGGAGAAAUGGAAGCAUGUAAAUGCCACAUCUAGAGUCCAAAGAGGGAUGAUCAAUGAAAUAUUUUUCUUGGGACUCAUAUUCAUCCAUUGAACCAUUGUGUCAUGUUGCAGAAAUUACUUUCCAAAGGAUCAUGGCCACUGAUCUAACGCAUUUGUUCUGAAAAUGAGACCUUUGGUUGAGAGCCAGUUCAUGCUAAAACACGCAGAAGACAGAAUUAUCAAUUUAAGUCACAAACCUCCAAAUGGUAAUUGAACCCAUGUUUUCUAAUUUCCUCUCCCCCAAGCUCAAAUUCCAAUUUAAUUAUUAAAAGGAGGUAAUAGAACACAUUCAUACCUACAAAUACGGUUCAGGGAGGAUACAAUUCUCAUGCUAGAAACUUUAGAUAAACUCUAGAAAAUAUAAAAAGUAUCAUUCAGAAAAAGAAUCAUGUUUGUUGCUCUAUAAAUCCAAUUUCUAGGAAUUUUCUUAAGAAAAUAACCAUACAGCUAUAAGAAGAUACAGCGCAAAGAUGUUCACUGCAGUAUUGUUUAUACAAGUUAAAAAAAAAAAAACCAACAGUGUAAAUGUCCAUUAUUAGAAGACUGUAAAGAAAUAACUAAUAAUAGGUAAUACAUAUCAAACAUUGAUCUAAGUAUAUAUUAACUUGUCUAAUACAGUAAUUUUAAGAAGUAGUGUUAUUAUCCCCACUUUAGAAAUGAGGAGAUGGAGGCAUAGAGAGUUCAAUAUGAAAUUUAAUUUCACAGAGCUAGGAAUUGGUGGAACAAGCAUUUGAACUCAGUCUGGUCCAAUGUCUAGGUGCUUAAAACCAUGUCAUAUUGCUUUUAAAUAAUCAAAAUUCUUAUGCAUAUUUAUCCUCUUUGAUAGGGAAAGAUGCAUACAGUAUGUUGAUCUAAAAAUUAGUUUACAGAACAACACAUACAGUUGGAUCCCAUGCAUGAGAAAUUUCAAACAAAAGCACAGAGAGAUAGCUGGAUGAAUGGUCCCCCAAAUGGUAAUUUUUUACAAUUAGUAUGCAUCGUUUUAACAAAAAUGGUAAAGCUAAUGUCACAAAAUUGAGCAAUACCUCACUUGGACAUUCAUCCACCUCAUAUGUAGGAACAACAAUUGCCAUGGAUAUUGUAGGUUAAGGCCCUUAAUUAUCACCCUGGCUUUGCUAUAGAAACUACACUGGUUUGCCUCUGAUGCUUAAGUGUUAUAUUUUAGCCUCUACCUUUCUAGAACCCCAACAUCUCCUCUGAUAUCAAGGAGUUCCGUUUCAUGGUAGCAACUACAUGGCUUGCAGAAAACUGUGAUCACCAAACUUUCCAAGUAAAUGCCGGUGGCUUCUAACCAGUGCAUUUCUUAAUAUCUUUGUAAAGGGAAUGUCUGGCCCUCCUGCAGAACACAUGUUGUAAGUUCUUAGACCUUCCAUAAUAAAUCCAUUCUAAUAUUUCCUAUGCCAAGAACCAACUCAACACCAUGUCAAGGAAGUUCUGAAACUCCACUUCAUUUACUGUAAGCUUUCAUUAUGUCCGGGGUUCAAUGAGCCAUCACGAACAGGUCUUAAAACCAGUUCCAGUGUCUCUGGCAGACAUUAAGUCCUGAGUCAGCAGAAAAUACCUCCAUGCCAAUGAAUUCCCUUUCUUUCUACUUAGUCCCACGGUAAUAACACCUUUAAGAUCCACUCACAUAGCCUUUCCCUCAUUCUUUUCUGAUUAUAUUAGUAAGGUUCUGCAAUUCCUUUGGUGGGUAAUUUAUUUGUUCCUAGAACAGGGCUCAUGUUUCACUCCUAAGGCUGGACUUAGAACUGACUCUGGUUAUAAGCCUGAAGGAAAUAAGGGAUUGUAGGAGAACCAGCAUUAUCUUGUGAGGUGCAGGCUUCAUGCAGGGUCACUGCCCACCUCUAGGCAAGAGAGGGAAAGGAAAGAGCUAUUUCUGAUGGGUAGUAAGGCUUGGGGAAAUCUGAGAUUUAAGGUUCUAGACUCAUCUACCCUAUCCCAGGUCUCAGGGUCCCUUUCUUUCCAAAUAUCAGGGCCCUGAUUCUGAUGUAGGAGACCUGGUAAAUCUGCAUACCUAGUCCUCCUGGAGCUCUGCCACUCUCAUAACCAGAUCUGAGCCUGAUUUUCAGGAGAGUCUGCUGAGAUGAGUUGACUUUAGAGCUGCUGUAGAAUCCUUCUGUGGUUCAGGAGUCCCUUGAUUGGGCUAUGUAAGCAUGACUAGUUCAGGCAAAAAACAGGCCAGCUACGGCCCCACUCUUCAGGGCUGUGGUUUAAUAUUCCCUGGUAUGAGUCUGGGACCUUGCCUUCUUCCAAACUAGAACUGAGGAAGGAUGUUUAGAUGUGAGGAUGAAGGCAGUAUCUCUUCCUAUAGAAGGCUCUGUUGGUACCUGGAACAGGAUGCAUUCAGAGGGCACCCAGCGGGGUAGGGGACACUGGGAGACACAGGGCUUUGUGGCACAUACUACUGUGGCUCCUUAUACUCUGGAAGACCCGGCCACCCUCAAAUUUUGCCUAGAUUCCUAAUUAGCACUUACACUGGUCAAGUCAUAGUUUUUAAUAAUAGCAGUCCUGCAGAGUCAUUUGGAAAUUUUAUUUUUGCCUGGAAAAGAAACAGCAGCCAUGGGUGAUGGAAGGGAAAUCCUGCACCCAACAAUUAACACAAAUUUUUUAAAAAAUCAUUUAGGAUGAUAGGCAUUUCUGGCACCUGCAACUCUCAUUAGCAAACUGGGUCUGCUUCUUGGUGGAUGUCCAUCAAGCCAAAAAACACAACCAAGCCCAAGUGUGGGAGAAGGAAGGAUUUAUUACUCGCAGCAAGUAAGGAGAACACUGAGAAUCUUUCCCAAAGCAGUGUCUCCCCAAACAGCAAAAUUGGGGAAGUUUUAAGCUAAGGAUACAUGUAUAUUCAUGAAGGGGCUAAUCUUUACCUUCAAAACAGGGCUAGGAGGAAUUCUUUUAUGGUGCAGCAGGUUAAGUAUUUGGCAUUGUCACUGCAAUGGCUUGAGUCACUGCUCUUGCGCAGGUUCAAUCCCUGGUGCAGGAACUUCCACAGGCUGUGGUUGCAACCAAAAAAGAAAGACAGCGAGGAAAAAAAAAAAAUAGAACUAGGAAUCUUUACAAUUUAUCUACUGUUUCUAAUAUGGCUAAGUUAUUUCCCUGAUCUAAUAAUAAGAGUUCUUACAUUCUUUUGUUUCCAUAGAAUCAUUAAUUACUGCGACCUAUUCUGUAAGAGCAAGCAUGGUGGCCAGGCUUAGAUCCAAAAAUGGCUUGGGCCUAAAAUAGCUUCUCUUAUGUCAAGAAAGUUCCAUCUAGUUCUUUUCCUUUAGGGACUCCCUACCUUAUUUACCUACAGUUGGGGAGAAGGAAGUCAGGGCCAGCCAGGGCCUUCCAGGGUUCUGGAAGCUUUGAGGACAGCCCAGGACUUGUGGGAUGGCCCGGUCCUCACCAAAUUCCCAUUUGGUGCUAGGAGCCUGCUGCUAUUGGUAUCAGAUCACAGAUUUGUACCACCGCUCCCUGCCCCUCAACACCCUGCCCACCAAAUUGGUACUCAGAACCUUUGCAUACCUUUGCCUUCUAGGCUAGGAGAGUGGGGAGAAAGUGGUUGCUGUGCAGCCUUAAAGGGCCAUCUCUGG